AGCUCUAUGUUUCCAAGCACAAACCGGUGUUUACUCAAAGGACUCCACAUUAUCAAGAAGAACACACAUCAAAAUUGAAGGAGAUGCAAAACUAAAGUCAAACGCAGAACUCACCUUCACGAUGUAAAAUAACACACCAAAUCAACGCGAUCAACUACGAACCCCAAGAAUUUGCGGCCUGCUCCGACACGCUGGCUCCCAGUAAAUCCUUUCUCGGAUUCAUCAUAGUUUUUGUCUUUGGUUCGAGUUGUGGUAGAAUCACGUUGUGUUGCUGUUUCUUCUUUGUCGUGUGCAAUAGCGUAUUGAGAUUGAUACGAAUCCUUAUUCGUGUGCCUCCUCUUUGUUUUUGCAUAAGAAAGAUGGAACCUCACGUGCACAUCCGUUGCCGAGUGAAGAUGAAGAUGAAGGAUUUGUUCGUGCGUGCAUUCUGUUUCCGAGUGAAGAUGAAGAACGAAGCAUUGAAAAUGUGAGGAGAUUCAUGGUUGAAGCGGUGAAUCAAUUUCGACCCCAAUUGUUCAUUGACGGACUCGUGAUGACAAGUCGAAAAGUGAAGGUUGUGUGUCAUGGAUUGGAUGCUUGAAUUGAAUGGAUAUGGAAUGCAUUGCUUGAAAUUUGGGCUUGGAUUUUGAGUGUGCUAUGGCUAUGAAGCUUGAAUUCGAUAUGGAUUUCUGUUGUAAAUUUUGUAAUCAAAAUUCAAGUUGUAUUAAAAUUGGAAAUGAAUGUAAAUAUAUGUAUGUAAGUUUGUUGUAAUGUGAAGCUUAUGUAAUGAACUUGAAAUGUAACUUGUAAUUUAUUUUUAACGGAAAUGGAAAAUGAAUGAUUAUAUGAUAA